CUUUAAUUCUAGCACUUAAGGAUGAUCUUCUUCAUCGAUCCUACUAUUAUAUCCGAUCGAUGAGAAAACCAUCCUUAAGUGCUAAAAUUAAAGAAAA
rnacentral:pre_miRNA from 1 species